GGGGCAGCCCGUCAGGAAGUCCACGAUCCAGUUGCAGAGGGAGGUGUUUAGUCCCAGGGUCCUUAGCUUAGUGAUGAGCUUUGAGGCAGACAGGCAGGCAGCUUUUCUUAGCCAGCCGAAUCAUGAAUCAGCUGGCAUAAUUUGUAUAGAUAUAUACCAGGAAAUGUCAAUAGAAAACAGGUAUCAUGGCUCGAGAUUUCUUUGAGGAAGAAAUCAUCAAGAUAUAGGGUCCAGCAUAUAUCAGAGAGGUGUUUCUGGGACCACAUCGUUUCUUUGAAGACAAUACCCAAAAUACAAUGCCGCCUGGGUUUGCAUUGCAAAUGGGGACAUAAACGGUGUCAAGACACCAGCAGAGUCGCCUGAUUUAAACCCGAUCAAACUUGUUUGGCAUCAACUGAAAACAUUAAUUCGUAACUCUGCCAAGCCUACAAGCAAAGAUGAACUGGUCAAGGCCAUCAAGACGUUUUGGCUAGAGAAAUUGACAUACAACAAUGCAACAAAUACAGUGAUCAUCUCAGCAAGGUUUUACCUGUGGUCGUAGAGCUGGGUGGAAGUGCAACUAAGAUGUACUUUAAAUAAACAUCUGCAUAUUGAAUGUCUUUUUCCUUGUUAUUUUAAUAACGAAAGCAUAAAGAUGUUGAUGAAGAAAUACUGUACUGAUGUUUUGAGUUAGAAAUGUAACACUUUACUGGAAUUAAGCAUCGAAUACAUUGCAAGUAGGGGCAUGUUCACACCUACAAUAGCCGAGCUAUAAAGAGUCUAUUAUCCUGCUAAUACUGUGGUGCUAGACCUGCUGCAGUAUACUUGUAAAAAAACAAGUGUUUGUAAACCUGUUUUCAAAAUGCCUCCAACUGUCCAUCACUUCUGUAAAUGAAAAACACAACAUCUUGUUUACAUCCUGUUUACAUUCUUUAUUGUAACCACAAUGUCACAAAUACUUUGUAUCUACCUUUCCAAUUACUUUUAGUUUGGGAUCUACAAAUGUGCCCUUUUC
rnacentral:lncRNA from 1 species